rnacentral:rRNA from 1 species
UACGUAGGGGGCAAGCGUUGUCCGGAAUCAUUGGGCGUAAAGAGCGUGUAGGCGGCCUGAUAAGUCUGCUGUGAAAGUCCAGGGCUCAACCCUGGGAUGCCGGUGGAUACUGUCGAGCUCGAGUCCGGAAGAGGCGAGUGGAAUUCCUGGUGUAGCGGUGAAAUGCGCAGAUAUCAGGAGGAACACCAAUGGCGAAGGCAGCUCGCUGGGACGUGACUGACGCUGAGACGCGAAAGCGUGGGGAGCAAACAGG